rnacentral:rRNA from 1 species
UACGGAGGGGGCUAGCGUUGUUCGCAAUUACUGGGCGUAAAGCGCGCGUAGGCGGCUUUGCAAGUCAGAGGUGAAAGCCUGGAGCUCAACUCCAGAACUGCCUUUGAAACUGCAUCGCUAGAAUCAUGGAGAGGUUAGUGGAAUUCCGAGUGUAGAGGUGAAAUUCGUAGAUAUUCGGAAGAACACCAGUGGCGAAGGCGACUAACUGGACAUGUAUUGACGCUGAGGUGCGAAAGCGUGGGGAGCAAACAGG